AUCUAGAUAGCUUAAAUAGAGCGUUUCAUUGAAGAUGAAAAGGAGAAUUCUUCUCUAAAUA
rnacentral:tRNA from 1 species